rnacentral:rRNA from 1 species
AGAGCGAACGCUGGCGGCAGGCUUAACACAUGCAAGUCGAGCGGGCGUAGCAAUACGUCAGCGGCAGACGGGUGAGUAACGCGUGGGAACAUACCUUUUGGUUCGGAACAACACAGGGAAACUUGUGCUAAUACCGGAUAAGCCCUUACGGGGAAAGAUUUAUCGCCAAAAGAUUGGCCCGCGUCUGAUUAGCUAGUUGGUGAGGUAACGGCUCACCAAGGCGACGAUCAGUAGCUGGUCUGAGAGGAUGAUCAGCCACAUUGGGACUGAGACACGGCCCAAACUCCUACGGGAGGCAGCAGUGGGAAUAUUGGACAAUGGGCGCAAGCCUGAUCCAGCCAUGCCGCGUGAGUGAUGAAGGCCCUAGGGUUGUAAAGCUCUUUUGUGCGGGAAGAUAAUGACGGUACCGCAAGAAUAAGCCCCGGCUAACUUCGCGCCAGCAGCCGC